rnacentral:rRNA from 1 species
UACGAAGGGGGCUAGCGUUGUUCGGAUUUACUGGGCGUAAAGCGCACGUAGGCGGAUCGUUAAGUCGGGGGUGAAAUCCUGGAGCUCAACUCCAGAACUGCCUUCGAUACUGAGAGUCUCGAGUCCGAGAGAGGUGAGUGGAACUGCGAGUGUAGAGGUGAAAUUCGUAGAUAUUCGCAAGAACACCAGUGGCGAAGGCGGCUCACUGGCUCGGUACUGACGCUGAGGUGGCGAAAGCGUGGGGAGCAAACAGG